ACGAGAAGACCCCGUAAAGCUUUAAUAUUAUUAUUGAUAUUUUUAUUUAUUUUGUUUUUUGUUGGGGCAACAGGUAUGAGGCGAUAAUGAUUAUUUUAGAGGUUUGGGUUUUUAGUCGGAGUUUGAUCCAAUAUUUUUGACAUUGAGACAAGCUACUUUGGGGAUAACAGCGUAAUUAGGCCUGAGAGUUCUUAUUGACGGUAUAGUUUGCGACCUCGAUGUUGAAUUAAGAUACCAUUUUAUUGUAGCUGGUAAUUUUGGGGGUCUGUUCGACCUUAAAAUUCUUACAUGAUUUGAGUUCAGACCGGCGUAAGCCAGGUCGGUUUCUAU
rfam:Strigamia maritima strain Brora ctg7180001229762, whole genome shotgun sequence.